UACGAAGGGGGCUAGCGUUGCUCGGAAUCACUGGGCGUAAAGCGCACGUAGGCGGCUUUCUAAGUCAGGGGUGAAAUCCUGGAGCUCAACUCCAGAACUGCCUUUGAUACUGGAGUGCUUGAGUCCGGGAGAGGUGAGUGGAACUCCGAGUGUAGAGGUGAAAUUCGUAGAUAUUCGCAAGAACACCAGUGGCGAAGGCGGCUCACUGGCCCGGUACUGACGCUGAGGAGCGAAAGCUAGGGGAGCAAACGGG
rnacentral:rRNA from 1 species